rnacentral:rRNA from 1 species
AUUUCUGCUCCAUGGUCUUGCUAAAUAGCCGCAGUACUCUGACUGUGCAAAGGUAGCAUAAUCAAUUGGCUCCUAAUUAGAGUCUGGUAUGAAUGAAUAUAUGGAAAUAAGCUAUCUUAAUAUAUUGUUAUUAAAUUGGUAGUAAGUGCAAAUCCUUACGUAACUAUUAAAGACGAGAAGACCCUAGAAGCUUCAUUAAUUAUUUUGUUGGGGCGACAGAACUACAAGUAACUAGUUUUAUGCAACAUGACGUGUACUGAAAGAAAAAGCUACUCUAGGGAUAACAGCAUAAUGUAACCGUUUGUGACCUCGAUGUUGGACUAGGUAAAGAUUCCUUUAGAAGAGGAAAAAUUUGGCUCUGUUCGAGCAAGAAAACCU